rnacentral:rRNA from 1 species
AGGUUAAUAUUCCUGUACUUGGUGUUACUGCGAAGGGGGGACGGAGAAGGCUAUGUUAGCCGGGCGACGGUUGUCCCGGUUUAAGCAUGUAGGCUGGUUAUCCAGGCAAAUCCGGAUAAUCAAGGCUGAGGUGUGAUGACGAGGCACUACGGUGCUGAAGUAACAAAUGCCCUGCUUCCAGGAAAAGCCUCUAAGCAUCAGGUAACAUCAAAUCGUACC